CAGGAUGAAGUGACUUGCUCAGGGUCACACAGCUAUUUGUGGAAACCACAGGCUUCUCCAAGUUCACUAUAUUAAAGGUUUCCCACAGCACAGAAAGAUUCCAUUACAUUCACAGGCCACGCCAUCAAUGGGCAUCUCCUUAGUUUCUAGUUCUCAGCACCACCAGAAGUACUUUUGCGACUGUCAAGUCUCCGAGGCCGCUCUGGGAUCUGUACGUGGCUCCUCCGAUGUGCUGUGGCCGGCUCCCCUCCAUCACAGGCCUGAACUCUUCCAACAAUGUGGCCCUCAAUGACUCAAGACAUUCAGCACCACCUAAAGAAGGCUGCAGCCGCCUGCAACCUGUCUGGUCCCCCACCUGUCUACGAAAGCUGCGACAGUAAACACUUGGCUCGACCCAACAUUCAUUUUUCAUUGUUCCUCCUUGGCCUCGAUUCCCCUCUUGUACUAACGACCCCUCCCCCCAAACUGGAUUUUCUUUCAUCUUAAGAGACAUUCCACUUUGCUGAUUCUCUGGCUCCCUCUCAUUGUCCUCCUCAACUGGCUUAUCCUUCCCUAACCAACCUCUUCAUGUGGGAUAUCCAAAUGUCUGUUCUUGGCUCUCUUCCCUCCUAUCCAGCAAUCCUGUAACUACCUUCAUUAAGUCCACUUAACAACAGUGCUCUCUAUCAUUCCCAAAUACCUAACUAAAAUCUUGAUCUGCAUUCUGAGCUCCAUCUCCAACAGCCUACAAUGCAUCUCCAGGUCUUGCUAUCCUGCAAGGACCUCACAAACUCACUAUGUAACCCAAACUGAGCUCAUUUUCCUCCUUAAAUCCGGUCUUCCUUUGGAUGUCAGUUUGCCUGUGGCACCCCUCAUUCAGUCUGCCACGUUU